AACCAAUCCUCUUUAGCAAAAUAAAAAAAAACCUAAAUCCGUAAAUCGACUGAGACUCUUCACGAACCCCAAUCAUUUUUUUUCUCCACUCCAGAACAUAAUCUGGAAAAAUCUAUCUCCUACAAGCUUCUAUUAUCGAAACUACCGGUUUGGAGAGUCUCCCUUGCGGAAUCAAAGCUAUCGAAAUCGGUCGGCGCUGUGGUUCACUCCAAAUCUCCAACAUGGAAGAAAAGUUUUAUCCUUUAUUCCUCAACUCCGACAUUCACUCGGCACCUAUCAUUGAUUCCUCACCACUUCACAACUUGUCUAACCACUGCUCGUCGCACUACCACACAAUCCCCGUCCACACAUCGUCCGAACACACACUUCGUAACCACUCAACUCCUGACCACACAUCACCCGUCCACAUAAUCUCUGACCAUAAAGCUGCCGAACAGCUGACGCCUAACCAUGACUUGCCCGACCACAACUCACCCAACCAACAACAGCCUUAGCAACCCGUCUUCUGCCGCCGCACAUGAUACACCUAAUGGGCACCUUUGUUUUGCUCUUAAUGUUCCCUUCAGAUUAUGUCUACUCAUGUACUUUAAUUCCACGAACUGAGUAUGUGUGGCUCUUUUGGUAUUUGUGGGAACCGAAAUUCGCACUGUCGA